UCCACUCGUCGGUCGCUGCGGCUGGGAGUUGGUUUGGUCAGGCGUGGCAUUAGCCUGUGGAAAAGAUCUCCACCAGGGGCAAUUUUGGGUUUUCCUCCUCCCUGCCUGAGACAAAACCAGAGAAUCCCACAACAAACCCUACCCAUUCGUCCUCCUCUCUCCUUGCGCACCACCCUCCGCAUCCCGCCGCCGCCCGUGCCCUGCUCCUCCUCUGCGCCGGCGUCGGCGCCCCCGCCUCCUCCUCUGCGCUGCCGCCCCCGCUCUGCCUCCUCCCGUGCUCAACGCCAUCUCGCCCGUCCCUGGUCCUCCCCGUCGAGCUAGCCGCCGCCAAGGCCGCCGCUGCUCCUCCUCCCCGCCCUCCGUCGGUAUUGGAGACAACGGCGAGGUUUGGAGCAGCGGGGGACUUCGUGCCUCUCCCGAGCUUCUUUGCGUGAAGUCCGUGGUUGAGCUCCUCUCCAUCAUCCUCUUGUCUAAAGCCACCAAGGUCGUCCUCGUCCUCCCCAACCACGACCAGACAAGGUCCCCUACUUCCUGCUUCUCUUGGCUGGCCAGCCCUGUCUCAUCCACAGCCUGCUGAGGGGAGAGAAGGACAUGCUCUGCAACCUCCAUCCCUGGCCCCUCUACAUGGAGCUGCGGCCAGUCAGGUUCAUCUUCCUCUGGCCCAUCUCUCCACCUCCCCUUUGCUGAUUCGAGAUAUGUUUUGUAUCUAUGCAUAUGAACUGUUUGAGGAAAUGUCUAAGCAGGCUGCAUAUGUACUGUUUGAGGAAAUGUAUAAGCAGGCUGCAGAUAGAGGAGGGCCAUCAAUAUCUUUGAGAGAAGCUGGUGCCAUUGAGAAGCAUCUUUGAGAGAAGCAGGCACUGUAGAGAACAGGUACUUUACAUUGGGUGAGAAAUUUAUUCGUGUGCUGGAUUGAGCAGAUUGUGACAUUUGUCUAGGCUCAUCUCUGAAAUCAAGUUAUAACUCAGAUCUCAUUCUACAUGAGCUAUCGUGAAUUUUAUCCUUUCGCACUUUAGGUUGUUGCUAUAUGGAAGUUGGUUGAGAUUUCGUGUCACAGUUCCAUGAACAUUUUUUCUUGCCUCCAUUAAUCAUAGAGAUCUUGGUUGAUAGACUGUUUAUUUUUUAUUGGAACUACAAUUUGUUGAUUUUCUGUCCAUCAAAUUUCUAAUUAUGAUAUUGUAAAUAAUUGUUCAAAUAAAUUUAUGUGGUAUUGUGAGAAGAUGAAGCUGAAUAUUUCUAGACGUGUAUUUUGGAAUUCUAGAUCUGUCCCACAUGGCAAUCUUUUAAACAGGUAGUUUUAAAGAUGACAACCGACAAUAAGAGUCACUUCUACCUUGCAAUAUUGAGCUCAGAUAUGAUGCAUAUUUGACUCAGUAAUCUGUGUGCUUAUAUGCAACUUUGAAGUUUUAUUUUGUAGCCUGAAGGUGCUACUACAAAAGUGUGACUUGAGUACAAAAAAUGCAUUCUUUGGGAGAGGCCCCGCAGGUGCAUAUUUAUUUGUUGGUUUACAUCAAACCCCAUCGAAACCAUGUUUAGACCCAUGUUUAGUUUUAUGCUUUUCAUAUUUCAAGAAGCGGGUAGUGGCUAAAAACUACCUGUAGCAGGCAAUGGCAUAAAAUAUCACUGUGUAUGUGGAAACUAUUAUUUUUCUUAUGAAAUUUAUAUGUAUAUCUUCGCUCAGUUAUGCAGGUUGCUUACUACUAUUUUCCAUUUUAUGCUCGUAUUUAUUGAGUCAAAUUGACACAAAGAUUUGUGGUUAUCAUGCAAAUCGAUUGCUGUCAGGUAAUUAAAGCAGAGAUUGGUUGCUUGCCUAUAAAAGAUGACAAGAUUGAUGCAAAAGUUGUACAUGAUCAGCUUUGUUAUGUCUUUGCUAUUAAAGGUGCACCCGUGCAGCAGGAUGUUAUGGCUCUAGGGAAGGAGGUAUGGCCCUGCAAAUGAGAUGGCACGUCUCUUCGUGAGGUAGUCCCAAUCUUCAGGAGAGCAUCUUUUUUGUUUCUCCAUCUUCAAGUGACCUUUCUAUGAUUCAGUUUUGUUCCUCCAUUUUGCUCCUUCGUCCAAGCUGUUGUUGUUUGUCUCACAAUCUUCAAGGACCGCUGCCAGAAGAGAAGUUAUGUGUGAAGGUGGCUUCUUGAUAAUAAUGUUUUACCUUAGGGUAUGCUGGCCUUCUUUUCGAUCAAUGACAUCAAGGUUGCACAGAAAACAGGAGACAAGGACGAUUUAGUUGGAAUCAGUUAAAAAAUGGGCCUCACAACUUCAAGAGCAACAUUAAAGUGUCUUGAUAAAGGUUUGGCAAGCUGACCUCAAAUUUAGAGGUACAGACAGUAAACUUACUUGCAGCAUGCCAGCAAAAGUGGUUUCUGCCCUCUGAAACUGCAUGCUGACAGUGACCGGUUGGUCCUUCUCCGCCACUUUCAGUGUUUCAGACAGCCAUAUCCUCUAGCAAAUGCCGGUUGGAUUGGCUCAAGGAACAAAACCAGAUGAGAUCUCUACUGCAAAAAUGUAACACAGCUUUCCCUGGACAUUGGCUGCAAAUGUUCACCACUCAACAUAUCUAUACAUACCAGGACCAUUUUGGAUGGAAAGCUACCUGUUUAGUUUGUGCUACUGUAAAUUUAUGCGAACUGUUUGAUGCACUACAUUUCAUCAGUAAUGGCAUGUGGAAGUUGAGUUUGGUCAUCACUUGGUGUUUCACUUAAUCACUGCUGUGAAUGCAGGGCCAAGAUGGCAUUAAAAUAGGUAGCUUUGUACAUUUACAAAAUAUAGCUACUUUGAUCGGUGUUUAGGCUAUCUGCAGCGUUGUGUUCAAUGUUUAAGUACCUGUCAGGACUUAGGACUGGAGAAAAGAAGAGAACACGUCUGAAGCCAAGUGUUUGAGGACGGCAGUGCAGCAGUUAGCGUGUUGUGUUUUUUGUUUAUUAACAAGCCUAUAGUACAGUUGCUAAAAGCUAUCUUUUGCUUCGCCUGUUUUCUCUGAUAUCUGUUGUAAUCAGCUAAUUUAGUACAACCUAGGUCUUCCGUGUAUCCAGUUCUGAGAUUGCUAUUUUACUUUCAGCCUAUUAAAGUUGUAUAGAGACCAAGGAUGGGCAUGAUAAUCUAGGCGAAGGCUGGCUCUACACCCCUAUGCGCACGCGGCCUCUAUAUUUUUGGGCGGAGCUACAUCUGCAUCACUCACCAGCAGGGCCUGCUCACCAGCUGUGAAGGAUGACAGCCUGCGAUAGGUGCCCCUUUGGUGCUGGAACUUGCAAGCUUCGUCAAGCUUUAGGAGCUUCUCUAUCUUGUCCGAACACCAUCUCAUGGAAGUCUGUUUUGGCAGUAUACAUUUUUUCUCUUGCCCUUUGGUCAUGUGAGCCAGGUGAACUGUUACAAAUUUUGAUUUCUACAUCCAGUCCAAGAACCAUCUUGAUUUUAACCAAGUUCUAUAAAUAGCGAGGGAUCAAGCAACCGUUUCGACCUUGAGGUGAACAUUCCGAAUGAGAUGGACCCUGAUAUUGGUGUGAAAGGGAGACAUGGGAGAUUCGAUUGCAGACCUUAGCAGUUGUGGCUUAAUGUGAUCAAACCUGUUCCCUUCAGAUUUGCAUAUGAUUUUGUUAUAGAGCCU